rnacentral:rRNA from 1 species
CGCAAUGGGCGAAAGCCUGACGGAGCGACGCCGCGUGCUGGAUGAAGUGCCUUGGUACGUAAACAGCUUUUAUCGGGGACGAAGUUUAUUGACGGUACCCGAUGAAUAAGAGGCUCCUAACUCUGUGCCAGCAGGAGCGGUAAUACAGAGGCCUCAAGCAUUAUCCGGAAUCACUGGGCGUAAAGGGUGUCUAGGCGGCCAUAUUAGUCUCUCGUUAAAUCCGUGGGCUCAACCUGCGGUCUGCGAGGGAAACGGUAUGGCUCGAGGGCGUAAGAGGUGCAUGGAACUCAUGGUGUAGGGGUGAAAUCCGUUGAUAUCAUGGGGAACACCAAAAGCGAAGGCACUAUACUGGCACAUAUCUGACACUCAAGCACGAAAGCGU